rnacentral:rRNA from 1 species
UGCGCGNCUACCAUGCAGUCGAACGAAGCAUAAAUUGGACUCACUUCGGUGAGAAAGAAUUAUGACUGAGUGGCGGACGGGUGAGUAACGCGUGGGGAAUCCGCCCCGUACCGGGGGAUAACAGUUGGAAACAGCUGCUAAUACCGCAUAAGCGCACAGUGUCGCAUGACACGGUGUGAAAAACUCCGGUGGUACGGGAUGAUCCCGCGUCUGAUUAGGUAGUUGGUGAGGUAAUGGCUCACCAAGCCGACGAUCAGUAGCCGGCCUGAGAGGGUGUACGGCCACAUUGGGACUGAGACACGGCCCAAACUCCUACGGGAGGCAGCAGUGGGGAAUAUUGCACAAUGGGGGAAACCCUGAUGCAGCGACGCCGCGUGAGUGAAGAAGUAUUUCGGUAUGUAAAGCUCUAUCAGCAGGGAAGAAAAUGACGGUACCUGACUAAGAAGCCCCGGCUAACUACGUGCCAGCAGCCGCGGUAAUACGUAGGGGGCAAGCGUUAUCCGGAUUUACUGGGUGUAAAGGGAGCGCAGACGGUGUUGCAAGUCUGAUGUGAAAGCCCGGGGCUCAACCCCGUGCCUGCAUUGGAAACUGUGAGACUAGAGUGUCGGAGAGGCAGGCGGAAUUCCUAGUGUAGCGGUGAAAUGCGUAGAUAUUAGGAGGAACACCAGUGGCGAAGGCGGCCUGCUGGACGAUGACUGACGUUGAGGCUCGAAAGCGUGGGGAGCGAACAGGAUUAGAUACCCCUGGUAGUCCACGCCCGUAANCGAUGAAUACUAGGUGUCGGGGGGACAAAGUCCUUCCGUGCCNCCAGCAANCCCAUUUAAGUAUUCCNCCCUGGGGGAGUACNUUCCCCCAAGNAUUGAAACCUCAAAGGAANUUNGCCNGGGGAACCCCCCCNCAANCCGGGGGGAACCNUNUNGGNUUUUAUUUCCAAANCCCNCCCCCAAAAAAAACCUU